ensembl:lncRNA LEF1-AS1 LEF1 antisense RNA 1
GCCCCUUUGUGUGACUAAAUUUGGCAAGAAUAUGGAUCUGAGCCAGUCUUUCCACGUGUGCUCCCAGCUCCCAGCUGAGAAGGCCAAGGGUUCUCUUCCGGAUGCAGCCUUUUUGAAAUUUAUUCUUGGCCAAAAGAGGAAGAUAGUUCAAGGAUUCUAUCUUGCUUUUGGGGGGCAAUGGAGAAACCCUGAAAACACUUAAGGAAAACCUGAGGCCUUCUAUAAGAAAAUAAACUCCCUGAAAGGGGAGGCAGGGCCAAGGAAUUUACUUAUUUUUAUAAAUCUCUUUCCUGGGUGGAUAUGUGCUCCAGGAAAGUACCUGAUUGACAAGAUCUACAUCCAAUGCCCAGAAAACACAUCCUACACAGGCACAGUGAAGCGUGGAGUUGAAGAAUUUUCCAGUGAGUUCCAUCAAAGUAAAUAAACCAACCUAGAGCAUCAGGA